UAAUAUAUCACCCCCCUUUGGUCAUCCAAAGGGGUCAGUGGACUUGGACUCUGCCGUGUUUGGCUCGUCCUGAAAUGCAUUGGCUGCCUCGAGCUUGCCUCCCUGGUGUGAUAGUCAUCUACGCCUUAGGAGCAGGUUUUUUAGGUGGCCUAACCGUCUUCGGACAGUACCAUGACC
rnacentral:misc_RNA from 1 species